rnacentral:other from 1 species
GUGCCCCUGCGCUGAGCGAGUGACCUUAUGUUGCCUGAGCCGAUGCAUGUCAAAUGGGAGCUUUGCUACACUGAUUGUGCGCGUCCCACUUGAUUGGGAUACCUAACAUCAGCGUGCUGCGCCCACCUCGUGUUCGAGGGUUCGACGACUUGCCGUCAUUACGUCAGUGCGGGGGUUCU